rnacentral:lncRNA from 1 species
GAGCGGAGAUCAACACGGUUUAUCUUCACAACAGAAAAUACAAUCACAACUUUGAUCAGGGUCACAAUCCCCUAUUUGAAAUUCUCCGCGAAUACCAGGAGGUGGAGGGCCGCUACCGAACUUGCUAAUGCAUAAGCUAUUGCAAUUUCGUGCAUCACAAGGCUUUGUGGUUGAUGGGAUGUACACAUGACACUGGUUUAAAAUUCCAUUCGUCUUAGUGCCUUCAUUUUUUUGUAAGAAAAAUAAAAUAAAUGUGAGAAUGGAAAAAACAUAUUAAAAGACUAGAAAGCUAAAAGAUUGGACCAUGAUUCCCCUAAAUAAUAAAAUUAACUAGAUGUCUCUCACGAUAUUUAUUACGGAGAAAAGGUAUAAGUAACUAAAUUAAAAUAAGAAAUGAGAGACAAAAAAAGAGGAGUAACAAAAUACACUCAUGACAAGCGAAUGUGUUUUACCUCCCAAGAAAAAUCUGGUUAUGACAUUUCAAGAAGAUAUUUAUUCCACUUUAAAAUAAUUCAUGGAGUAAUAGACACCCUAAAACUUAAGUCAUGAGUUGGGGGAUAUUUAUACCUUUUUCCUUUAUUAAAAUAUCAUAAAUCUUUUGUUGAAUUCUGGUCUCACGAAUGACGAAUUAAAUAGAUCACAUAAAUGAAUAUGAAACUUACCGAGAACACUAAAGAGGGCAAAUGUGAAGAAAGCUAUACUCGAGAAGUACUUCAUGAUUUCUUAUUAAAACACCAAGAAAUUCAAUACUCAGAUUGUG